rnacentral:lncRNA from 13 species
ACCACCAAUCAGAGCCUUCAUGUACAACCUGACAGUCACCACAGAGUCAGUGCCAGCUGAUUGGAUGGGAAAAAUUGAGGUCGCUGGUGUUGAAGGGCAAUCUCGUGGACAGAUUCCGCUUCAACAUCGCAGGAACACCGAUCCCGUCCAUCUCAGAAAAGCCAGUGAACACCUUGCCUGAAAGAUCCAGGCCACCUGUCAGGAGCUGGAGAGUUGGCUGAAAGUGGUUCGCUGGUCAGGACUGCCCGGCAAGUUCAAGGUGUGGAUGUACCAGCAUGGCAUCCUCCUGAGGAUACUCGGGUCUCUGCUCAGCUACAAUGUCCCCAUCUCUACUGUUGAGAAUGUGGCGAGGAAGGUUGUCAAAAUGUAGUUGGACUAACAGCAGACAUGUCCAUGUCUUGUUACCUGAAGGUCUGAAAUGCAGAUUGACUGAACUGAAUUACUUUACCUUCUUCCUCGGUGCGUGGGAGCUGAUACUGAGAAAGGGGACCAUUACACCCUUUAGGUGCGUGUCCACUUAAAAUUUGCGACAUAUUGAAGACCUAAGACUAAUUUAAUGUCAUGUUAAUGUCAUGUCAUGAAAUACGCAUGUAGUUAAUAUAUUCGACAGGUCUUUGAUGGUGCGUCCAAGCAGAUCAGAGUGUACAACUCAAAGGGCUCCCGCCAAGGCAUCAGGUCAGAGGGUCUGGACUUGCUGAGGUACCUCAACCAUCUCCAUAUUUCAAUUCCAAAACACAUGGGAAAUUGUGGUUGUGGUACAUUAACCCUUGACACUAGUGGGAAUUGGCUGAUAUGAAUAGGGCUAAAUUGAAAUGUUUCUUACAGAACAAAUAUGAAAUGCAUAUGCAUAACCAUGGUAGCAAUUGAAAGGGAACAGUUUGGAAAAGUAUUAGACAAAGAUGAGGACACAACAGUAAGAGAAGCAGAAAUAUUUACCAAAUCUGAAAAUACUCUGGAUAUAAUCAGUAACAUAAUAAGAAUAUUUCUUGGGUAGGUAUGAGACAAAAAAAAAUGACAGACAACAAAACAUUUGCUAAAGUUGCAGGGUACAAGUGUAAAGGGCUACAUAACAAAUCCUAUAUUUAUUGCAGCAAUGCCUUCAGGAACGUCUGGGAUCUGAGUGAA